rnacentral:tRNA from 1 species
GCCCCUGUCUGGUGAUACAAUUGGCGGGCGAUUCCUAAACCGUUUGUCGGCGGUUCGAUUCCGCCCAGGGGUA